CAGCAGCCACGGGAAUACGUAGGGUGCGAGCGUUAAUCGGAAUUACUGGGCGUAAGGCGUGCGUAGGCGGUUCGUUAAGUCUGUUGUGAAAGCCCCGGGCUCAACCUGGGAAUGGCAAUGGAUACUGGCGAGCUAGAGUGUGUCAGAGGAUGGUGGAAUUCCCGGUGUAGCGGUGAAAUGCGUAGAGAUCGGGAGGAACAUCAGUGGCGAAGGCGGCCAUCUGGGACAACACUGACGCUGAGGCACGAAAGCGUGGGGAGCAAACAGGAUUAGAUACCCCCGUAGUCCCUGUCUCUUAUAC
rnacentral:rRNA from 1 species